rnacentral:rRNA from 1 species
CAGUCGCCGCGGUAAAACGAAGGGGGCUAGCGUUGUUCGGAUUUACUGGGCGUAAAGGGCGCGUAGGCGGACUGAUAAGUCAGGGGUGAAAUCCCAAGGCUCAACCUUGGAACUGCCUUUGAUACUGUUUGUCUUGAGUUCGAGAGAGGUAAGUGGAACUGCGAGUGUAGAGGUGAAAUUCGUAGAUAUUCGGAAGAACACCAGUGGCGAAGGCGACACACUGGCUCAUUACUGACGCUGAGGCGCGAAAGCGUGGGGAGCAAACAGGAUUAGAUACCCCGGUAGUCCCUGUCUCUUAUAC